rnacentral:rRNA from 1 species
AGUGAACGCUGGCGGUAUGCCUAACACAUGCAAGUCGAACGGCAGCACAGUAAGAGCUUGCUCUUACGGGUGGCGAGUGGCGGACGGGUGAGGAAUACAUCGGAAUCUACUUUUUCGUGGGGGAUAACGUAGGGAAACUUACGCUAAUACCGCAUACGACCUACGGGUGAAAGCAGGGGAUCUUCGGACCUUGCGCGAUUGAAUGAGCCGAUGUCGGAUUAGCUAGUUGGCGGGGUAAAGGCCCACCAAGGCGACGAUCCGUAGCUGGUCUGAGAGGAUGAUCAGCCACACUGGAACUGGGACACGGUCCAGACUCCUACGGGAGGCAGCAGUGGGGAAUAUUGGACAAUGGGCGCAAGCCUGAUCCAGCCAUACCGCGUGGGUGAAGAAGGCCUUCGGGUUGUAAAGCCCUUUUGUUGGGAAAGAAAAGCAGCAGGUUAAUACCACGCUGUUCUGACGGUACCCAAAGAAUAAGCACCGGCUAACUUCGUG